GGGUAUUAAAUUAACUUUUUGCAUCUCCCACCUAUUGUCCUAAUCCAAAUCUGCUCUAAAUAUUAACUUCUGCAUUAUCAAACCGCUUUGCUACUUAGAAUAAACAUUUCAGCACUAAUAAAUUGUUAUUGCUUUCGAAUAUAUUUGCCCAUUUGCAUUUUUAUAAAGUGCCCAUUUUAAAUUAAUUACUCAUUAAAUCAGUCUAAUAAGCUUUACCUGACUUAUAAUAUUUUCGCC
rnacentral:lncRNA from 1 species